rnacentral:rRNA from 1 species
UACGGAGGGGACUAGCGUUUUUCGGAAUUUCUGGGGGUAAAGCGCGAUUAGGCGGAUUUGUAAGUCGGGGGUGAAAUCCCGGGGCUCAACCUCGGAACUGCCUUCGAUACUGCAAAUCUCGAGUCCGGAAGAGGUGAGUGGAAUUCCUAGUGUAGAGGUGAAAUUCGUAGAUAUUAGGAAGAACACCAGUGGCGAAGGCGGCUCACUGGUACGGUAUUGACGCUGAGGCGCGAAAGCGUGGGGAGCAAACAGG